rnacentral:misc_RNA from 1 species
GAUGAAGAACGUAGCGAAAUGCGAUAAGUAAUGUGAAUUGCAGAACUCAGUGAAUCAUCGAAUCUUUGAACGCACAUUGCGCCCAUUAGUAUUCUAGUGGGCAUGCCUGUUCGAGCGUCAUUAAGUCCACUUAAGCCCUGCUUAGUGUUGGGAGACUGCUCCAGCGGUGCUACCCUGUAGCUACCCUGCAGCUCCUCAAAGACAGCGGCGGAGUUGUGGUAUCCUCUGAGCUUAGUAACUUGUUCUAGCUUUCGAGUACACCACUUCCCCUGCCGUAAAACCCUUAAUUUUUAAUGGUUGACCUCGGAUCAGGUAGGAAUACCCGCUGAACUUAAGCAUAUCAAUAAGCGGAGGA